UACGGGGGGAGCAAGCGUUGUUCGGAUUUACUGGCGUAAAGGGCGCGUAGGCGGUCAGCACAAGUCAGUUGUGAAAUCUCCGGGCUUAACUCGGAAAGGUCAACUGAUACUGUGCGACUAGAGUGCAGAAGGGGCAACUGGAAUUCAUCGGUGUAGCGGUGAAAUGCGUAGAUAAUCGAGAGGAACACCUGCGGCGAAGGCGGGUUGCUGGGCUGACACUGACGCUGAUGCGCGAAAGCCAGGGAGCGAACGGG
rnacentral:rRNA from 1 species